GUUAGGAAUAUUGGACAAUGGGCGAAAGCCUGAUCCAGCCAUGCCGCGUGAACGAUGAAGGCCUUCGGGUUGUAACGUUCUUUAGCCGAUGAUUAUCAUGACUGUAGUCGGAAAAUAAGCCCCGGCUAACUUCGUGCCAGCAGCCGCGGUAAUACGAAGGGGGCGAGCGUUAUUCGGAAUCACUGGGCGUAAAGCGUCCGUAGGCGGUUUUGUAAGUUAGGAGUGAAAGCCCAGGGCUCAACCUUGGAAUUGCUCUUAAAACUGCAAGGCUCGAAUCUCGGAGAGGAUAGCGGAAUUUCCAGUGUAGCAGUGAAAUGUGUAGAUAUUGGAAGGAACACCAGUGGCGUAAGCGGCUAUCUGGACGAGUAUUGACGCUGAGGCACGAAAGCGUGGGGAUCAAACAGGAUUAGAUACCCUAGUAGUCC
rnacentral:rRNA from 1 species